AUGGUUGUUGUUGUGGAUAUUGUUUGUAUGGGGAAGGUUCUUGUGAUUGCUGGGGUGGGUAUGGUAUUGGAAAUUGUUGUUGGGAAAAUUGUUGUGGUGGUUGCUGGGGGAAUUGUUGUUGGGGUAAUUGUUGUUGUUCGAGGUAUUUUUGUGGUUGGGAGAAUUGUUGUUGCGGUAAUUGUUGUUGUUGGGGGAAUUGUUGUUGUUGGGGGGAUUUCUGUUGGGGGAAUUAUUGUUGGGGAAAUUGUUGUUGCGGAAAUUGUUGUUGGGGGAAUUGUUGUUGUUGCGGGAAUUGCUGUUGGGGGAAUUGUUGUUGCUUGGGGAAAUUCCUGUUGUUGGGGGAAUUGUUGUGGUGGUUGCUGGGGGAAUUGUUGUUGGGGGAAUUGUUGUUGUUCAGGGUAG
rnacentral:rRNA from 1 species